rnacentral:rRNA from 1 species
UAGGGAAUCUUCGGCAAUGGGGGGAACCCUGACCGAGCAACGCCGCGUGAGUGAAGAAGGUUUUCGGAUCGUAAAGCUCUGUUGUUAAGGAAGAACGAGUGUGAGAAUGGAAAGUUCAUACUGUGACGGUACUUAACCAGAAAGGGACGGCUAACUACGUGCCAGCAGCCGCGGUAAUACGUAGGUGGCAAGCGUUGUCCGGAAUUAUUGGGCGUAAAGCGCGCGCAGGCGGACUAGCCAGUCAGUCUUAAAAGUUCGGGGCUUAACCCCGUGAUGGGAUUGAAACUACUAGUCUAGAGUAUCGGAGAGGAAAGUGGAAUUCCUAGUGUAGCGGUGAAAUGCGUAGAUAUUAGGAAGAACACCAGUGGCGAAGGCGACUUUCUGGACGAACACUGACGCUGAGGCGCGAAAGCCAGGGGAGCGAACGGG